GUGGCAACUAUUUUUUGACAGUUAACAUCAUUUCCGGUUGCUUUUCGGGCCUCUAUGAUUGGUUAAAUCGUUACUUUUGUGUUCGAAGUGUGGUGUCGACAAAAAACGUGUUCCAGUAAGUUAGUGAAUUUUAGCAGAUCUCUAUAUGCGCACAAUAAUUAUAUUAGAAUUAAUUAAGUAUGGUAGUAAUUCUAGACAUUGAUAAAUUUUUGACUCGCGAUGAUCUAAGACUACUCAAAAGUGCUAAGUGGCCAUGGAGAAGAUCGCACUUUAUACUAGCAAAGAAAUGUCACAACUGUAACGCUAAUACUAACACGUACCCUGGAUUACCUACUCACUUUGUAAUAUUUAGUGCCAAAUACAUAUAUCGUCUUUUAAAUCAUAAUUUUUUCUGGUGUCAAACUUGUUCAUUCUUUACUAUAUAUGAUCAUUUUCCGGAAGACGAGUGCAAAUAUUGCGAAUGUUAACAAAGACAGCUACGCAACUACCCUAAAAAUUAAUAAAAAUGCCAUUAACCGGAGCUGAACGGGCUAAAAAAUUUAGAGAAAAAUUAAAGGAGGAUCCAGAAAAGUAUGAAAGAUAUAAACAGAAACAAAGAGAACGAGUUGCUAAACGAAGGAAAAAAAUUGAUGAUUUAGAUGAUAACGAGAAAGAAAAGCAAAGGGAACAGUGGAGAAAAGAAAAAAGAGUUCAAAAAAAAAGAAAAGAUGUAAAAAGUAAUCAAGAGGCAAAUAAUCAAGUAACCAUACCAAAAAAUAGAACUAAUAAGCAAAGUAGUAAACUGAAUAAAAAGUUACAAAGGGUAUACGCUAACUACUACAGGGCUCAAAAAAAACAACAAAAGUUGAAUACAGUCAUUGGUCGUCUCAGGAAGCAGUUAAUUCGCACUAAGCAAAAAGUACAAGGUUUGGAAACAUCUAAAAGUGUAGCUGAAAAAGAACUGAAUAGUUUGAAAAAUGCUGUGAAAGAGACUUAUACAGAAUGCAAAACACUGGCAGAGAAAAGAUCGUUAAAAAAAAUUGCAUACAAAUUUAAACAACGGUCUGGAAAGAACCUGCCGAAAAUUUUGGGCCUAAAAACUAAAAUAAGAUUUUUCAAUCGUAGAAGCAAUAACAAUUACGGGACAUUAAAGGUUCGAGAAAACAUUGCCGCAUUCUAUCUUCGAGAUGACGUAUCUAGAUGUGCAGCUGGACGAAGAGAAUGUAAAACGAGAAACAAACAAAAGAUGCAAAUAAGAUAUUUGCUAGACACCCUUCCGAAUACUUAUCGUAUGUAUGUAGAAGAAGGCGGAAAAUUAGGUUUUACUACAUUUUAUCGCUGUAAACCAUUUUAUGUUAUAACGCCCACUCGUGCUGCUAGAGAUACGUGCAUGUGCAUUAAACACAGCAAUUUCCAAUAUUUGUUUACCGCUUUGAAAUAUCGAUCAAUUAUAUCGUACAAAAAUAUUGACGAAGUUGUGAAAUGUUAUUCUUGUGAUAUUACUUCAUUUAACUGUAUGCACGGAUGCUGUGAGGUUUGCAAAAAUCCUCUCUUGCAAAUUCAUAGUAAUCAAGCUAAUGAUACUAUUAAGUGGUACCAAUGGGUAAGAACUGAUCACAAAUACCAAAAAGCUAGUAAAGAAUGCGUAACAAAAAAAACAAUUAAGCAAGAACAGGUAGGUACUGUCGCUGAUUUAACAUCCUUAUUCCUAGAAAAAAUACCACACUUUAAAGUACACGUUUACAACUGGAAAGAACAGCAAAGACAGUAUCAAAAAUGUGUAAAUAAUCUUAAGAAUGGUGAGAUCGCAAUCUUAUGUGAUUUUUCAGAGAAUUAUGAAUGUAAAUAUGCACAUGAGGUUCAGUCAAUUCAUUUUGGUGCCUCAAAAAAUACUAUUACUCUCCAUACUGGUGCAAUAUUUUUUUCUGAUAAAUGUCAAACAUUUGCAACCGUUUCUGAUAAUAAUAACCAUGAACCUGGAGCUAUCUGGGCUCAUUUAUUACCUGUUAUUAAAUAUGCAAAGGAAAGUUACCCGGAAAUUUCUGUAAUUCAUUUUUUUUCAGAUGGACCAACAAGCCAGUAUCGACAAAAAAAAAAUUUUUUCCUGCUUAAUUUAUUUACUUGUAAAUUAAAUCUUAAUUAUUCUACAUGGUCUUUCUCAGAAAGUGGCCAUGGUAAGAGCGUUGCUGAUGGCGUUGGUGGCAGCGUAAAACGCCAAUUAGAUAGAAGAGUCUCAUACGGUUGCGAUAUCACUAAUGCAACAGAUGCCUAUAAAGUUUUGUCUAAAUCAAUGAAAACAGUAAAAUGUUUUUAUGUUAACGAUACCGACUCAAGGAAUAUUUGUAAACUUAUCCCAUCUAAUAUUGCUACCGUGCCUGGAACGAUGAAAUUACAUCAAAUAAUUUCAUCAUCCAAAAACAUUAUCAAAUAUCGCUUGCUUAGUUGUUUUUGUGGCGACAAUGCAGGUUUAUGUAACUGCUUUAGCCCUAAGUUACAUAAUCUUAUUCCUAAUGAAACGGAACCAAAAAAAGAAGUUUUAAGUAAAGAUGCAGUUAAUCUAUCGUUAUUUGAAGAAACACACCUGAAUGAAUCUAGCAUAAGUAAUCGAGCUGAUCUUAAGGACCAACCAAUUGUUAUAACUGUGCCAUCAGAGAUGGAAUAUGAUUUACCAUCUCCAUCUCUGUCAAUUGGUUUUGUAACCGAACGAAUUGAUCUGACAAGUUUGAGUUUUGAUAUUGAUACGAAUUUUGAUAUUGAGAGUACCAACAGUGAUCUUCCAGCAGUACAUAUCACAAGUCCUAAAUGUGAAAAAAAACGCGCUCGUGUCUUGUAUCCUGGAGACCCUGAACCACCUCCUAAAAAAGUAAGUUCAAGCUCUCUUCUAUACAAUACGAGGUCUUUUAAUAAAUCUAAAAAUAUUGGCUUUACUUGCAAGUUGUGUCAAAUGGAAUUAAAAAGUAAAAUAAAGUGCAUAGUUUGUAAAUCCGAUAUAUGUCUGAAAUGCAGUGGGACAGUCUUUUUUGAUUACAUAUGUCCUCCUUGUCUUUGUGACUCAGAUGAAAGUUAAGUUUCACCUUAAUUUAAAUUUAAUAAAUAAUUAGUAGGCUGCUGACAUUGUCAGUCAUUUCUUCAUGAUGAUAAUUAUGUUAAAUAUUUAGUUUCUUGGAGUAAAUUACUCGAAACGUCUAACUUCAUAAUCAAUCAUUGAUUGAUAUGCCGUAAUUUUUCUAACAUUGUGUUGUAAUUGACAACUGUGAUUGAUUUUGAGACUGAUAAAAAAUGUAACUUGUAGUAGUAGUAGUUUUAUAAGGUAAAAAAAAAUAUCGUAACGAUGAUAAUUAUUUUAUAUUAGUUUUUUACAGAGAAAAAAAUAUUUCGUACGGGCUAACUUAAUUAAUCAUUGAUUAGUAUGCCGUAAUUUUGCUAACUUGAUUUUGAGACUGAUGAGAACAAAAUAUCUUGUAGAAGUAAGAUUAAAAGUUAGUGUUUGUGAUCUCAGCUUUAUGUUCCAAUUAGUACCUAAGAAUUCCGAUUAGUAAUUUGUUGAAGUGAGACUUCUUUAAGAACAUGUUAUUUUUCUUGGUUAAUUUAUAAGAAAAUGAUUAAUGUAAGAACGAAAUAUUAUUAACUUAAUAAUGUUUUACCUGAAUUGCUAAAAGAUUUAGUGUUAUACCUUGCGCUUUUUUCAUAAAAGGGUAUUAUACCUGUUCAUGAUGACAAAAAUGUUACGUAAUGGAAGUAAAUUCCGUGAUAAUUUGUAGAAAUAUACUUAAAAUGUUAUUGUUUGCUUUAAUUCUAAAUGAAAAUGAUUUCAUUAAUACGUUUUUCAAUAAAAAUAUACAAAAAA